rnacentral:rRNA from 1 species
GGCCGGUUCUUGGUUUGGGGUGGUGGACAGGCAAACCCGUCCACGUGAUCUCCGGGCUGAGAGGAGCCUUCGAGGCGAACCGAAUGGAAGUCCGUCCAAGAAAAACUUCGCGGGAGCAGAACAGUGACCGUACCAAAUCUGACACAGGAGGGCGAGGCGAAUAGCCUCAGGCGCUCGAGAGAACCCUACGUGAAGGAACUCGGCAAAUUAACCCCGUAAGUUCGCGAUAAGGGGUGCCCUCGCAAGAGGGUCACAGGAAAACGACAGCUGCGACUGUUUACUAAAAACACAGGUCUCUGCGAAGUCGUCAAAGGCGACGUAUAGAGACUGACGCUUGCCCGCUGUUGGAACGUUAAGGUGACUGGUUAGCCGCAAGGCGAGGCCGGGAGCCGAAGCGCCAAUGAAGGGCGGCCGUAACAAUGACGGUCCUAAGGUAGCGAAAUUCCUUGUCGGGUAAGUUCCGACCCGCACGAAUAGCGUAACGACAGCUGUACUGUCUCCACGAGGGACUCGGCGAAAUUGUAGCUGUGGUGAAGAUGCCACAUACCCGCACCAAGACGGAAAGACCCCGUGAACCUUUACUGUAACCUAAUACUGGCUCUAGGUUCGCCAUGUGUAGCAUAGGUGGGAGACGUUGAUGUCGGGGGCGCCAGCCUCCGAAUAGUCAUCAGUGAAAUACCACUCUUGGCGUACUUGGAGUCUAACCUGCGACCGUUAUCCGGCGUGGGGACAGUGUUAGGCGGGCAGUUUGACUGGGGCGGUCUCCUCCCAAAAGGUAACGGAGGAGUUCAAAGGUACCCUCAAUGCGGUUGGCAAUCGCAUGCAGAGCGUAAAGGUAUAAGGGUGCUUGACUGCGAGACAUAUAGGUCGAGCAGGUACGAAAGUAGGACUUAGUGAUCCGGUGGUCCCGUGUGGAAGGGCCAUCGCUCAUCAGAUAAAAGGUACUCCGGGGAUAACAGGCUGAUCACGCCCAAGAGUCCAUAUCGACGGCGUGGUUUGGCACCUCGAUGUCGGCUCAUCGCAUCCUGGGGCUGAAGGCGGUCCCAAGGGUUGGUCUGUUCGCCCAUUAAAGCGGUACGUGAGCUGGGUUUAGACCGUCGUGAGACAGGUCGGUCCCUAUCUGGUGUGGGCGCAGGAUGACUGAGGAGACUCUUUCCUAGUACGAGAGGAUUGGAAAGAACGAACCUCUGGUGUGCCAGUUGUCGCGCUAGCGGCAUCGCUGGAUAGCUAUGUUCGGACUGGAUAAGCGCUGAAAGCAUCUAAGCGCGAAGCCAACUCCAAGACUGGUCAUCCCCAUAGACGCCUGGUAGACCACCAGGUUGAUAGGCCGGAAGUGUAAGGACAGUAAUGUCUUCAGCUAACCGGUACUAACCAGUCGAUCGGCUUGAUCUG